CACAGAAACUUUCAAAAUAUUUUGUACAUUGAAUAGAUCCGAUCACCAAGCAGUGCAUAGAGUAGGAUCCUAACUUUGUAAAAUAUCCAUAUGUCAUAUAUAAAGAAAGACAAAUGUAUAUGUGCCAAGUAAGAAGACUGGAAGGAAUUAUGAACAGUGGUUAUCUCUGUGAUUGAUUAUGGGUGUUUGUAUUCUGGUUUUUGUUAUUUUCAAAAUUUUCCCCAGCACACAGAUAACAUUUUCUUACGUGAGAAAAAAUUUUUUUUAAAAAGCAGGGGGUGGAGAGCGGCAACUGUUUGCUCAAGACUUUUCAGUAAGGAAAGGAACCUGGGGUAGAAAGCUCCCCCUUCAGCUGCCCAUGAGGGCACAGGUGGGCCCCACACUCACUACGGGGCCAGGGCAGGGCCGCACACCUGCCACUUCCUCAGCAGAGACCCUAGCGCGUGGGUCACUGCUGGCCCAGACUCCUUCCACGAGCAGGCGAGUGUGCAGGGCCACACCUCAUCCAAGAGAUGAUCACGUUUAGGUUUUUGAUGAAAAGCAUAGCUCUCAGGUAAAUACAGCAGCACCUCUAAGCAUAUUCUGGGAGGAGUGGGUUUUAUGAGGAAGGCACACAAGGAACGCCCAAAUUUGCAAGUCCCUUUAAAAUGAGCCUGCUCAGAAUUGCUGUUUAUUCCACAGGUCUGCGCAGGCAUGGCACUAAGUGUCCCAUGGCACAUUUGGCCCUCAUGGAGGCCUCAAAAGGGCAGGACCAGCACCCUCUUCUACGGAGGAAGGAACGGGCACAGCAGACUUGCGGAUCCUGCUCCCCUUCCCACUUCUGCACUUGGGGGUCUAAUGAGGCCUCAGUGGAACAUAGAAUUCCUCCCGCCCUGACAUCAUAGCUCCCGCCUGGGAGGCCUCCUGGAUGACUCCUUUCGCCUCCUCCCUUCCCUGAGAGCAGCCCCUGGCUCAACCUCCACCUCCGUGCUGCCUCGGACCACCUGCCCAGUCGAGCUGCCAUCACCUGCCAGGUGACCACAGCAGCCCUCACUCAUCCCCUGCUCCUCUGCCUUCCACUCCCGCGACCAUCAGCCUCCCCAAGCCAGAAAGGUCCUUCUGGAGGGUGACGCAGACCAGGACACUGCUUUGCUGAAGACCUCUGACAGCCUCUGGGGUUGCUUGGAAUAAAAUCCACCCUCCUUCCCAGGGAACCCCAGGCCCUACGGGAGCUGGCCUGGCUCACCCCGGCAUCACCUCCCUCCACUCUCCUCCCCUUCACUGCACCCAGCCCCUCUCCUCCCUGCUGGCCCUGAACUUAGGGCCAGCCUGCUCCUGUCUUAGGGCCUUGCACUUGCUCCUUCUGGAACAUUCCUCCUCCAGCUGCUGACGUGCCCCUCCUUGUGUGGAGAGGCUGGGCCCAGUCUCACUCCACUGACGGCACGGCUGCUCUGCUCUUCCUCACAGGAGGUGUCAACUCCACGGUUGGUUUGCUUCUGUGCCCACCGACAGCCUCCCCUAGAGCACAGUGCCUGUUUGCUGCCCUGUAGGCUGUGAGCACUCACUCUAGUUGAGCCCCUGAGGGGCAGGGGCAAGGGCAGAGGAGAUGGAGUCCAGGAGCUGCAGGUGCAGUCACCUUCCCAUGUACCUCCCACACAUGCAGCUGUGAGAACCACACGGCAUAAAGGGUGGCUGGGCCAGGCCACCCCACGCGUCCUCAUCACCCCUGGGCCUUUCCAAGGAGAUGGCUCCAGGUGUCCAGCAAACACCAUUUGACUGCCCAGAAAGGAAGUAUUAUCAUAGGCUCAGAGCAGCUUUUGGUAAUUUCUUUCCUCUCACACCAAGGCAUUGUGUGCGCACGUGUGUGUGUGUGUGUGUGUGUGUGUGUGUUUUAAUUUUUAUUUUAGAGACAGGGUUUUGCUGUGUUGCUCAGGCUUGUCUUGAACUUCUGGGCUCGUGUGCUGCGAUUACAGGGUGAGCCACUGCGCCUGAUCAAGGCAUCACCGUUGAACCUCCUAAGAGGAAAACAUAAGGCUGUGCAAUACCAGGAACUGGGAUUCUAGGUUGCCCCAGACACCAAGGCAUCAAAAGCCAGGGGAUCCAGAGAAAACACAGACAGCCAAGAGAGAAACUGCGGGAAAAAGCCAAAAGGUUGAGAGCCACACCAUCUAGAAGCUUCCUGCCUGUGGUGCGGCACAGAAACAAGGAGAGUCAGCAAUUACCAGCCAGCCAAGGUCCUGGAAGCUGACGUAGAGCUCGUGCCGACGGCAGACCUGCCGGCCGUGGGAGCCGCGGACGUCAUCUGCAGGGACAGAAGGGGCAAGGUCUUUUCUGGGGUUCCUGCUGUGUGCAGCUACUAUGGGGUACCAGGGUGGGGGAUGCCCUGAUGAGCACAUUUGUCAAAUAAAUGAAUGACAGGAAACCAUUUGGUCUCAUAAAGCCCAUCCCUGGAACGCUGCUUGUACCAUGACCCAGCUCAAAAGCCUGCCAUGGCUCCCAAUGGCUAGAGUGACACUGUGCCCAGUCCUCCCCUGUCCUUCAGCCUAUGAGCGUCUUUAUGCUCCAGUAAACAGCCCAGCAGGACCCUCGGCCAUCCUGUGCCUCCUCCUCUCUGGAGACCCCUGUGACUCCAGCCCACCCUCUCCUGCCACACCCAUUCCCGAGGUUCAAGUGGCUCACGACCAGGCCAGUCAAGGGCCGACUCCCUGGUGAAGGAGGGCACGGGGUUGGGUCAGGCCUGUCCCUGAUCCUGAAGGGCUUGGCCCAGUUGGGGAGAAAACUCGCAUAAGCAACCGAGGAUCCCACAGGGUGCCCAGGCACAACCGCAGGUCAUGAGGGGCUGCGGCUCCCAGGGAAGGGGCAGCUGAUUCUGAAGGAGGCUCCUGAGAAAGACCCGGAGGAGCCAGGGGGAGAGAGGGAGACUUCUGGGCAGCAGGGACAGCCAGGACAGGCCUCCGGAGUGCCGGUCACCAGGGUGCAUCAGGGCCAAGAUGGUGUCAGGAAAGGUGGCUGGAGAGUGGCCGUCAGCUUGAACCGACCUGAGCCUGAGGGCUCUGGGCCACCACUUGGUUCUCGCCCUGCCUCUCU
rnacentral:lncRNA from 10 species